AAUCAACGCUGGCGGCGUGCCUAACACAUGCAAGUCGAACGCGAAAGUGGAGCAAUCCAUGAGUAGAGUGGCAAACGGGUGAGUAACACGUGGGUGACCUGCCUUCGAGCGGGGGAUAACGUCCCGAAAGGGACGCUAAUACCGCAUAACAUCCCGCCUUUUAAGAGGUGGUGAUCAAAGCCGGGGAUCGCAGGACCUGGCACUUGAAGAGGGGCCCGNGCCUGAUUAGCUAGNGGUGGGGUAAUGGCCUACCAAGGCAACGAUCAGUAUCCGGCCUGAGAGGGCGGACGGACACACUGGGACUGAGACACGGCCCAGACUCCUACGGGAGGCAGCAGUGGGGAAUUGUUCGCAAUGGGCGCAAGCCUGACGACGCAACGCCGCGUGGAGGAUGAAGACCU
rnacentral:rRNA from 1 species